AAAUGAACGCCAAUGGACAGGGGGACGCGAACUCAUCACCAUUCAAUUAGGCCUAAACCACUUCAGGAACAGAGCUGUCACCUCUCUCAACCCCACCAGGCCCAGAGAAACAUUUCUAAUAUCCAAAGGGGAAAUUUCAUGACGGAAAAAGUCUUACUGUGGAUUUCCAACUCUAGAACUAUGAUUCAUUUUUAAUAUACAAAAGAGAAGACCUCAAUGAAAUUGUUCUCUAAUAUGUUCUUUGGGUUUCUCCCAAUCCCUCGCCUAUCACGAAAGAUCAUGGUGAAAACAUCUGAGAAAAACUACUAUAUAUUAUCCCCUUUUGUCUUCUGGAGAGCUCUA
rnacentral:lncRNA from 10 species